AUGGGGUGCAGCAGGCGAGAAAACUUUGCAAUGUGCGAAAGCACGACAAGGUUAAUCCGAGUGAUUUCUGCUAAAGGAAUCUUUUGUCAGUCCUAGAAACACUGUUGAAUAAGGGGUGGGCAAGUUCUGGUGUCAGCCGCCGCGGUAAAACCAGCACCUCAAGUGGUCAGGAUGAUUAUUGGGCCUAAAGCAUCCGUAGCCUGCUUUGUCAGUUUUCGGUUAAAUCCAUACGCUCAACGUAUGGGCCGCCGGAAAUACUGCAAAGCUAGGGAGUGGGAGAGGUAGACGGUACUCGGGAGGAAGUGGUAAAAUGCUUUGAUCUCUCGAUGACCACCUGUGGCGAAGGCGGUCUACCAGAACACGUCCGACGGUGAGGGAUGAAAGCUGGGGGAGCAAACCGGAUUAGAUACCCGGGUAGUCCCAGCUGUAAACUAUGCAAACUCAGUGAUGCGUUGGCUUAUGGCCAGCGCAGUGUUGCAGGGAAGCCGUUAAGUUUGCCGCCUGGGAAGUACGUACGCAAGUAUGAAACUUAAAGGAAUUGGCGGGGGAGCAC
rnacentral:rRNA from 1 species